CAACGGAUAGACGUCCACUCAGCUGGGCAUAGGUUUCUUGUAGGGACCUUCACACGCCAAGGUCUUGCGCCGCCUGAAUCCAGCGGCUCCCUGCAACUCACCCUAUAUCGUCCGUCCACCAAGUGGCGGGUUCUUCUAACUCUGGGCUUUACGGUGCGAGGUCGCCUUAGUAUGCCCAUUUCA